rnacentral:lncRNA from 1 species
GUGAUGAGAGCGUUCGGUGAGAGCCUGGUGUCCUGCUCAGCACCAAGUGCAGCACUUUCACAUGCUUGAUGCUCAAUGAAUGUUGAAGGAGAGAGUGAAUGGAUACAGAGCUGAAUUAGUAGGUUCACGCUUGUGACUCUCUCAGAGGACUGCCCCAUUGUCUGCAAGCCUGAAAACCAGAAGUGCCUAAGAGGUUGCAUCCUCCCUGCACAGCCCUUAGCCAAUGACUGGCAAAGGAGAGGGAAAGCUUGGAUCCAUUGCCUCAUUUGGGAAAAACUCAGAGACAUGAUUCACACGCCAGAGUUCUCCUGCAGUAUCAGGCCUACAUCCCCUUUCUGAAAUUUCUCAUAAACCACGGUCCCCUGCUUGGCUUUUUCCCCUUCCCUGCCCAUCAUCCAUCUUCCUCUACUUCUCUCCUUCAUUUCAGAAUCUGCAUCUGAGAAAACUGCCCUAAGAUAAGGAAUAUGCCUAUCUUCCAAUUUGAGUUCUGUAAACAACAGCCAAGAGUGCAGGGGUGAUGAUACAGCUAAGCCACAAUCAAGUUUCUUAUUAUUUUCCAGACACAGAAGAUUCCAGUCCACAUCCUUUCUUCCUUUCAUUCCCAAGAUAUAGCAAUAGAAGUCUGAAGACGGUAAACUCUAAUAACUGUUCCCUGAAUAGAAAAUAACAAGCCUUCCCCUCCAUGCCUAACAGUCCCCAAUACAAUUGGUGUUCAUAAUAUGCAGUUUGAAGACAAUGAUGACCAAUGACCAAAGGCAUAAUCAGAAUCACAGCCCUAUAUCAGUGCUCUGGACCCACACAUCCUCUUGCUCACCCAGUGAUGUUUACCAGGAGGCAUCUUGCCAGAAAGGAAAUCAGCUGUGGGGGCUGUACAGUUCCAGGAGCCAGCCCAUCAACAAGGCAUUUGUGAGUUUCAGGGCGUGGGGGUACAGUGGAACAAAAGUGGUGUCUGUUUGCUUGUGUCAUGGAAGCAGCAUUGGAAGAAAUCACUCCUGACCAACUGAUGCCAGUCGGUGGAGCCCAGAUUUUUAAAACUAGCUGGUUGCCCAUCAAGAAGGAUGUCCAAGGGAUGAACCCACCAGCAUGACUCUCUCCCUCCCUCUGUUUGAUUUUUUCAGGAGUGCUACUCUGUGAUAGGCUGCACUCAUGUGAUGAUUAUGUAUUGUGCAUUUGCUGACUCUUAUGAUGUACAGACUUUCCAAAGCUCAGCUGCUUUAUAAUGUCCAAAUUAAUACCAACAGCAUUUCUGGGAAGAGGAAGGGAACUACUGUGACAUAUGGACCAAAUCUGAUGAUUCAUGUAAAACUCAUCAGUUACAUUUUACCUCCUUUGUCCCCUUCUAGUCCUUUAAGAAAUAAGAAUCAAUCAUUGUCACAUUGUCUAGUUAUUUAUACUGUACUUACCCAAAAAGGUAAGUUUACAUCUCAUGAAUUUUGACUUAUUGAGAAGAAAUCUACUCUCAGUCAUGGAUUGAGACUGUUCUUGUUGUUAAUUAGUGAAAACUGAAUUAUAGACUGUUUUGUACAAAAAGUAUUAUUGAAAGAAAUGUCACACUAAAAGAUAUAUCAAAAGCCUUGAUAAAAUUAAGAUUCAUUGUGUUUAGCAUUAUUCUCAUCCAUCAUUCUGGGAGAAGGCAUAUUAAAAUCAACAAGGUUAUUUUGACGUAAUUUACUCUUAGUGAUUCUUCACAAUUCCUCCAGGAUGACAGAUAGGACUUGGUAAUCAUAGCUGAAGAGGGCUCAUCAAUUCGUAGUUAAAUUAAUGAAUGAACAAAAUAUAAUGUCAUUCAUCCAUCCAUUUAUUCAUCAUCCUACUUAGUAACUCACUUUUUAACAAUGCUUCCUAAAAUGCUAUGUACACUGUGAAUUGGUUUUACAAGAUUCUUUUAAUCAAAGAUGAAAUUUAUAACAUAGAAACAGAAAACCAAAUACUGCUUAUUCUCACUUACAAGUGGGAGGUAAACACUGGGUACACACUAGCACAAAGAUGGGAAAAACAGACACUGGGGACUACAGGAGGGGGCAGGAGGGGGACAAAGUUUGAAAAACUUCCUAUUGGGACGUUUACUCUCAGUAAGCUCAUUACCUGGGUGAUGGGUUCAAUUGUACUCCAAACCUCAGCAUCACACAAUAUACCCUUUAACAAACCUGCACAUAUACCCCGAGUCUAAAAUAAAAGUUGAGAAAAAAGAUGAAAUUCAGUUCAGCCACAGUCUUACAGAAAAUAUCAAAUUAGUAAAGUCUAAAGUUAUGAGAUUUGAUAGUUUUAUAGUAGUUGACAUCCAUAGAAUAGACAAUCUGGACUUUAUAUGAUCUACGGGACAUCUAGAGGAUGUCCAACAGAAGAGAGGCUGCCUUUUCUAUGCAUCUCUUUUAAUAAGUAAGGACAGCUUCUUAGAACCCCCCAAACAGGCUUCUUUCUGAACCAAUCACUGACAUGAGAAAUGAAACAGCUACUUAAGAUUAAUGAAGAUUUGCUCUCUGAGUCAUGUAAAGGAGGGGUGAAGACCUGAACAAAAAGUAAAGGAAGAGAGAAAUGACAGGUGGCCAAUAAACUAACAGUGU